GGUGCAGGGGAAGACAAGAUAUCUCCGAUUAAGCGAUUGAAGUGUUUAGUUGUUCGAUGUAAUAAUGAAUAUAGCAGUCUCAUUUACUCCUGACAUCUGAGCUGCUGAAGACGCAGAGGAUUAAGGUUACUUUUGCUUUGAAGUGAAUGUGCCGAUCCCCGAUCUACAUGAAUGCCAUCCGUUUGCCCGAAUCAUUCGUGAUCCAGCUUUAUCUACAGAAGAACAGAUGGCGCUGUCGGUCAAUUUACGCUAGUCUCCCGAGACCUUUUCAGACCAGUAUGAGUGGGGAACAGGAAUAUGUCUGGAAGCCCUGCUGCCAGUCUUUUUACCGUUUUUAAAAAAUUUUUGUAAUCUGAUCCUGGAUACAAUUACAACUCUAAGGGGUGAAACAAUGUUCUUCAAGGACAGCUUUUUCUGGCGUAGAUCUCCAAGCUGAAGUGUGACGCAACAUCUGAUCAAGAGUGUAUGAGUUCGGAUUAUACAGUAAGAGGUACUUGCGUGUGCUGAAGAACAAUUUUUUUCUUGCCCUGUUAGUUGAGCUUCCCUGAAAGAAGAAGUGGAUGUAAAUUUAGAAGGUUAUUUUACAACUACAGCAGUUUUUAAAUGCAUGUACAUAUUUAAACAAAUUAAUUGUUCAAUUAAUUUCUUCUUUCUGCUGUUUGUCACUGGACUUCUAAUAUAACUUGAAGAAUGUAUUUUUACAUAAUCAAUUUAAUGUAAUUUUUUUCAAAUAAA